rnacentral:rRNA from 1 species
CAUGCAUGUCUAAGUAUAAAUGGAUUAUACAGUGAAACUGCGAAUGGCUCAUUAAAUCAGUUAUAGUUUAUUUGAUAAUAUCUCUUACUUGGAUAACCGUAAUAAUUUUAGAGCUAAUACAUGCGUAAAAGGACGACUUUUUGGAAGUCCUGUAUUUAUUAGAUACAAAACCAAUCGUGCUUGCACGCUUCCUUGGUGAUUCAUAAUAACUAAACGAAUCGCAUGACUUUAUGUCGGCGAUGAUUCAUAUAAGUUUCUGCCCUAUCAACUUUCGAUGGUAAGGUAUUGGCUUACCAUGGUUACAACGGGUGACGGAGAAUUAGGGUUCGAUUCCGGAGAGGGAGCCUGAGAAACGGCUACCACUUCUACGGAGGGCAGCAGGCGCGCAAAUUACCCAAUCCUGACUCAGGGAGGUAGUGACGAAUAAUAACGAUACGUGACUUCGGUCUAGUAAUUGGAAUGAGUACAAUUUAAACCCCUUAAUGAAAGCCAUUGGAGGGCAAGUCUGGUGCCAGCAGCCGCGGUAAUUCCAGCUCCAAUAGCGUAUAUUAAAGUUGUUGCAGUUAAAAAGCUCGUAGUCGGAUUUUGAGUUUUCUAAGCUUGGUCUACUAUUUAGUAGUACUGACUUAGUGGCUCUUCUUCUCGAGGCCUAUGGGUGCACUUAACCGUGUGUUCAUAGUGUUCGGGACUUUUACCGUGAGAAAAUUAGAGUGUUCAUAGCAGGCUUUUGCUUGAAUAUUGCAGCAUGGAAUAAUGGAAUAGGAUCAUGAUCUUAUUUUGUUGGUUUCUAAGAUCAAGAUAAUGA